rnacentral:rRNA from 1 species
UCAGUAACACGUAGUCAACAUGCCCAGGGACGUGGAUAACCUCGGGAAACUGAGGAUAAACCGCGAUAGGUCAUCACUUCUGGAAUGGGUAAUGACUUAAAUCUACAUGGCCCCUGGAUUGGACUGCGGCCGAUCAGGCUGUUGGUGAGGUAAUGGCCCACCAAACCUGUAACCGGUACGGGCUCUGAGAGGAGGAGCCCGGAGAUGGGCACUGAGACAAUGGGCCCAGGCCCUAUGGGGCGCAGCAGGCGCGAAAUCUCUGCAAUAGGCGAAAGCUUGACAGGGUUACUCUGAGUGAUUCCCGCUAAGGGGAUCUUUUGGCACCUUUAAAAAUGGUGCAGAAUAAGGGGUGGGCAAGUCUGGUGCCAGCC